rnacentral:rRNA from 1 species
UACGUAGGAUGCAAGCGUUGUCCGGAAUUAUUGGGCGUAAAGCGAACGUAGGCGGUUACUUAAGUCUGGACUUAAAAACCGGGGCUCAACCCCGGGAAUGGUUCGGAUACUGGGUGACUAGAGGAUGUUAGAGAAAGUGGAAUUCCAAGUGUAGCGGUGAAAUGCGUAGAUAAUUUGGAGGAACACCAGUGGCGAAAGCGG